GAUCCUGGCUCAGGACGAACGCUGGCGGCGUGCUUAACACUUGCAAGUCAUGGGGGUCCGCAAGGACAACCGGCGAACGGGUGCGUAACACGUGAGCGACCUGCCUGAGUGCGGGGGAUAGCCGGCCCAACGGCCGGGUAAUACCGCAUACGCUUGUGCUGGGGCAUCCUGGGACAAGGAAACCUCCGGGGCACUCAGAGGGGCUCGCGGCCUAUCAGCUAGUUGGCGGGGUAAUGGCCCACCAAGGCGACGACGGGUAGCUGGUCUGAGAGGAUGGCCAGCCACAUUGGGACUGAGAGACGGCCCAGACUCCUACGGGAGGCAGCAGUGGGGAAUCUUGCGCAAUGGCCGAAAGGCUGACGCAGCGACGCCGCGUGUGGGAGGAAGCUCUUCGGGGUGUAAACCACUGUUGCCCGGGACGAACGAUGAGCUUUUGCUCAUGUAACGGUACCGGGUGAGGAAGCACCGGCUAACUCUGUGCCAGCAGCCGCGGUAAUACAGAGGGUGCGAGCGUUGUCCGGAAUCACUGGGCGUAAAGGGCGCGUAGGCGGCUCGAUAAGGUUGCGGUGAAAGCCCGGGGCUCAACCCCGGGUCGGCCGUGGCAACUGUCGAGCUGGAGCACUGUAGAGGCAGGUGGAAUUCCGGGUGUAGCGGUGGAAUGCGUACAGAUCCUGAAGAACACCGGUGGCGAAGGCGGCCUGCUGGGCAGUGGCUGACGCUGAGGCGCGACAGCGUGGGGAGCAAACAGGAUUAGAUACUCUGGUAGUCCACGCCGUAUACGAUGGGCACUAGGUGCUUGAGGGAGCGACCCUCCGAGUGCCGGCGCUAACGCAUUAAGUGCCCCGCCUGGGGAGUACGGCCGCAAGGCUCAAACUCAUAGGAAUUGACCGGGGGCCCGCACAAGCGGUGGAG
rnacentral:rRNA from 1 species